rfam:Triticum urartu cultivar G1812 contig1006150, whole genome shotgun sequence.
GUGGAAGGGGCAUGCAGAGGAGCGGCCAUGGGAGCUUUGCUUGCCUCUAGGCUCUGGCUCUCUCCUGUGCCUGCCUCUUCCAUU